rnacentral:rRNA from 1 species
AAGUCUUUUUAAAGAGCAAAACGGUGGGAUCUUUGGGCAUCUGGGAGCCCGAAAGAAAGGGACGUAGCAAUCUGCGAUAAAGCCCUCGGGGGGGGAAACUGAUAAAGCGAGUUUUUUUGAUCCCGAGGGGGUGUCCCGAAAUGGGGGGGAAAACCCCCCGCCCAGGGGGCGCGUGCGUACCCUGGUGACUCCCCGCCUGAAAUAUAUAGGGGCGGGGUAGAGGGGAACGUGGGGGAAGUGAAAACAUCUCAGUACCCCACAGGGAAGAGAAAAGCAAACAG